rnacentral:rRNA from 1 species
AUGCGGCGGCCACCAGGUUAUGAAAACAAGAGUACACCACAUUAUGUUCGCAAAUUGGAUAAAGCAUUAUAUGGUUUAAAACAGGCCCCAAGAGCUUGGUAUUCACCAUUGAGCAGGCAACUACAACAACUUGGAUUUGUACCAUCCAAAGCGGACACGUCCUUGUUCUUUUAUAGUAAAGGAAAUGUCACUAUUUUUGUGCUAGUUUUUGUUGAUGAUAUUAUAGUUGCUAGUUCAAGUUCAAGUGCCACUACUUGUUUUCUUAAAGAUCUUAAGUUGGAGUUUGCUCUUAAGAAUUUGAGAGAUCUUCAUUAUUUUCUUGGUAUAGAGGUUAAAUAA